rnacentral:lncRNA from 1 species
CCAAAAUCAUAGCCAAAAAUCUAAACUCUCUGAAAUUAGCCUUGUAAGUUUGAAUGGCCUCAAAAGAGUAAUUCUAAUCUCUAAUAAGGCCUUGGGUAACUUCCUUGAAGUCCAUUGGACAUAAAUUUUGGCCAAUAAGAAUAGAGAUUUUCAUCAUCCAUCUACAUUAAUUCAUAUGGACAUUCUAACUACUCUUUUUGCUACCAAAAUUCCUCUCGAAUUCUUUUUUGUAUAAGAUAUACAUAAUU